UAGGGAAUCUUCCGCAAUGGACGCAAGUCUGACGGAGCAACGCCGCGUGAGUGAAGAAGGAUUUCGGUUCGUAAAACUCUGUUGUUAGAGAAUAACAGCGCAUAGAGUAACUGUUAUGCGUGUGACGGUAUCUAACCAGAAAGCCACGGCUAACUACGUGCCAGCAGCCGCGGUAAUACGUAGGUCCCGAGCGUUGUCCGGAUUUAUUGGGCGUAAAGCGAGCGCAGGCGGUCAGAUAAGUCUGAAGUUAAAGGCAGUGGCUCAACCAAUGUAGGCUUUGGAAACUGUUUAACUUGAGUGCAGAAGGGGAGAGUGGAAUUCCAUGUGUAGCGGUGAAAUGCGUAGAUAUAUGGAGGAACACCGGUGGCGAAAGCGGCUCUCUGGUCUGUAACUGACGCUGAGGCUCGAAAGCGUGGGGAGCGAACAGG
rnacentral:rRNA from 1 species